rnacentral:misc_RNA from 1 species
AAGUCGUAACAAGGUUUCCGUAGGUGAACCUGCGGAAGGAUCAUUACCAAAGAGUGAGAAAUCACUUUCUACCUGCUUGGUGGCCCUCGGGUCGCUGACUGGUCUACCCUUUGUGAACCAAAAACCUUUUUCGCUUCGGCAGCUGGGCCUGACCGCCUGUCAGUCUGCCGCUAGCACCAACCUUUAAAACCUGUUGUCAAAACAUUGUCUGAUAACCAAAUUUUCGAAUGAAAAUUAAAACUUUCAACAACGGAUCUCUUGGUUCCCC